rnacentral:rRNA from 1 species
UACGUAGGGUGCAAGCGUUAAUCGGAAUUACUGGGCGUAAAGCGUGCGCAGGCGGUUCUAUAAGACAGAUGUGAAAUCCCCGGGCUCAACCUGGGAACUGCAUUUGUGACUGUAGAGCUGGAGUGCGGCAGAGGGGGAUGGAAUUCCGCGUGUAGCAGUGAAAUGCGUAGAUAUGCGGAGGAACACCGACGGCGAAGGCAAUCCCCUGGGCCUGCACUGACGCUCAUGCACGAAAGCGUGGGGAGCAAACAGG